UAUUGAUGUAUCGUUACAGAAGUCGGGAACUGAGCAUAACUAACCCGUCGAUGGAGAUAACGGCACCACUACUUCCGACGAUUUACUCAUCCGUCCUUCUUAACCCCCAAGUUCCCUGUCGUUCGCUUCACAUUCAUGCUCAUCAGUCCACUCGCUCACUGCGCACUUUUGUCAAACACAAGCCUCGAUUUCAGAGACCUUCAAUUUUUAUCGACUUCCGCACUCCAUUCCACAAUUCCCUCACCACUACUUGCUCGCUUCCCGAUGAAGCUGCUACUUCCGCUGCUGAGGUUGCUAUGGAUGAACCUUCUCUAACUGUGAAGAAAAAGGCAGCAGAUAUCUCCUCAGACCUUAAAGGAACUUCUAUAUUUCUUGUGGGAAUGAAAAGUUCCAUGAAAACCAGUCUGGGCAAACUUCUGGCGGAGGCAUUAAGAUAUUAUUAUUUCGACAGUGAUAGUUUGGUAGAGGAAGCAGCUGGUGGUGCAUCUACUGCCAAAUCUUUUAGGGAGACGGAUGAAAAGGGAUUUCGUGAAUAUGAGACUGAAGUAUUGAAGCAGUUAUCAGCUAUGGGUCGGCUUGUGGUCUGUGCUGGAGAUAGUGCAGUCCAGAGUUCCACUAACCUGGCACUUAUGAGACAUGGCAUUUCACUAUGGCUUGAUGUACCCUUGGACAUGGUAGCUAGGGAGAUGAAUGAAAACAGUUUUCAACUUACUGCAUCGGAGAUAGUUUCUGGAGAUCAUUUAGAGGUACUUACUCGGUUGGUUGCCAGAUAUGAAGAAAUGAAAGGAGGAUAUGCUACAGCUGAUGCAAAAAUUUCCUUGCAGAAAGUAGCUUCUAACUUGGGCUAUGAUGAGUUGGAUUCAGUAACAACAGAGGAUAUGACUUUGGAGGUUCUAAAGGAAUUAGAAAAACUGACAAGAUUAAAGAAGAUGAUGGAAGAAGCAGCAAGACCCUUUUAGCGAAUCACAGCCAUGUUCUUACAGCUUGUGUAAGAUUUUCAUACCUACAACUUUUCUGAAACUGUUGAUCAUGUCAUGAGCUGAGCCUGUAUCUAUCUCGGUCGGGAGAAUUCCAUAACAGUCGUCUUCAUUACUGUCGUAGUGGGAAGACACCGGAUUUUUACUGGAGGAUGACGUACUUGAUGACGCUGUCGACUCCGUCUCCGAACUUGACUAUUUUUUAUCCUUUCUUCUGGAUUUCUUUCUUGUUUUACUGGAGGAUUUCUUCAAGAAUUAUUUGCUGGAUGAUUGUUUUACUUCUUCUUUCUUUAUUGAAUCUUCAGCAGUAAGAUGAUUGAACAUUUAUUGACAAAUCAUCUUAUAUUCUUCUGGGGUUCUAGCUGCUGCUAAUAAGGCUUGACAUUAGGCUUUCUGGAUUCCAAA